UACCCCCUAGCUUUCAGCAGUUCAAGCUCAACGUUGAGAUGAACAAAAGGAACUACACUUUGGCUAAAUUAUUGACUGAACUUCAGUUGGCGGAGGAUCCUAUGAUCCAAGCUAUGUAACGAUGGUUAGUUCAACACAUCGUUCCUCUGGCCCUAGCCCUAGCGCAGGAAGGGAGAAAGUGACGAACCAGGUCGCCAGUAAGGAUGCUAAGGGAAAGAAGAAGAUGAAGCCAAACAAGAAGCAAACAUGAAAGUGUUUCAAGUGUGGUGAGAAGGGGCAUUGGAAGCCAGAUUGCCCUAAAAGGGCCAAGGCGACAGGUGACGAGGAGGCUAUAUAACCGUGAGAUCGAGGUCCAGCUGGGCGAUGCUACUAAUGUGGCGGCUGUUGCAGUGGGAGACGUUUAUUUGCGUUUUAGUAGUGAUAGAUUUUUUAUUUUGAAGAAUGUUUUGUUGAUACCUUCAUUUAGUAGGAAUUUAAUUUCGGUUUCUAAAUUAGUUUUUUAUGGAUAUUCGAUUUCUUUUAAUGACAAUUGCGUUAUUAAGAAAGAUGGCUCUUAUAUCUGUCAUGGUAUUAUAGAAAACAAUAUGUACACAAUCAUAUCUACACAAUUUUAUGAUUGCAAAUCAUAACUCAACAAUGCAUCGAAAAUUUCAAAGAAAAGGAAAGAACCUUCAAGUUCAAUGAACGAAACGUACUUAUGGUACCUUAGACUUGGUCAUGCCAACCGAAGAAGGAUUCAAACCCUCGUAGACCAAAACCUUCUUAAAGGUCUAGAAACAGAGUCAUUCUCCACGUGUGAAUCCUGCUUAGAAGGCAAGAUGACUAAGAGACCUUUUAGGGUGAAAGGUAAUAGGAAGGAAGUACUAGAACUCGUUAAUACUGAUGUGUGUGGACUAAUGUCAAUCGAUGCAAGAGGUGGCUAUCAUCACUUUUAUUGAUGAUUACUCGAAACUCGGAUAUGUUUAUUUGAUGUGUUUCAAGUCUGAAUCUUUUGACAAGUUAAAAGAAUUUAAGGCUUAUGCGGAGACACAUCAUGGAAAACGUAUCAAAAGCCUGCGAUUUGAUCACGGAGGCGAGUACCUAAGUGUCGAGUUUUUGGACACUUAUCGGUGGAAGGAAUUGAAUCCCAAUUGUCUGAAAGAAGGAAUAGGACCUUGUUGAACGUGGUCCGAUCGAUGAUGAGUUAUGCACGGCUACCUAUUUCGUUUUGGGGACAUGUCUUGCUUUCUGCAAGCCAUAUUUUAGACAAUUUACCAUCAAAAUCUGUUCCUACUACUCCAUAUGAGAUGUGGAAUGGGCGCAAGACCAAUCUAGAAUAUCUCAAGAUAUGGGGGUGUCCGACUCAUGUAUUGGAAAAGGAUCCAACUAAGCUGGAAUCAAGGACAGAGGUAUGUUUGUUUAUUGGUUAUCCCAAAGGUUCUAAAACCUUAUGAAUUCUAUAGUCUCUAAGACAAGAAAGUUAUCGUGAGUACUCACGCAACAUUCUUAGAGGAAGACUUUGUAAUGAAUCAUAUGAAUCAUAAACCCAGCAGUGAAGUGGCUCUUGACGAGCUAACUUUUGUCACAAGUUCCAUUAACCAAGAACAAGUACCAAGUGUACAAACAAUUCCCGAAAUUUUGACUUCUACUCCUAGUGUUGUAGUGACGCGUCGCAGUAGGAGGGUCUAUCAUGAGCCCGAUAGAUACAUUAGUUUGGGAGAAUCUAUCGAUCAAAAUUAAGCUGAGAAAAUUAUGAUGCCAUAAAAUAUAGUACUAUAUACCCCCUCCUUCUUUUACUUCCUAAAAUAACAACUGUGUUGGAUUGAUUUGUCAUAAACAUUAUAUAUUUAUUAAGAAGGCUUUUUAGAGGCUUGAAGCCUUGAACUCUUGUUUUUAGAUACCCAAUGAUAUCUACUUUAUAAUCCAACAGGAUUUAUUCAAAAAAAAUCGUAAUGGUUCGGUAGUUAUCAUCAUUUUCUCACAUACUACCAAAACUGGAUAGUUUCCAUCAGCGUUUUCUACAUAAUAUUUAUAUAUAGUAAAUGUACUUAUUAAUUCGUUAGAAAAAUUUAAAGAACACCCCCACAUCUUAUAGUUGUUUCUAAACUUGUUUAUUCAAGUUUCCUUAUAGCUUAAGUACUCUGCAUAAAUCUGAUAAGAUAUAAGAAAACAAUAGACAAUACAAAUAUUGAUGACAGUUUAUAGUUGUAUUGUUACAACAAUUUAUUGAUGUAAUACAUGAACUCCAAAAUUCUCCCUAAUAUUCAGGGCACUACAAGAGUCAUCAAAGUUGUUCUAAAAAUUGGUAAACAAGAAUUUUCACUAUUCUACAUAGACAAAUAAUUCGGAACAGAUCACUUAAAAAAUCAGGGGAUUUAAUUCGAUUCAAACUUCUAUAUCAAAUUCUAUUUCCACUUAUGUUUAAUAAUCAUAAUAACCAUAUAUCUUAUCUAACCAGCGGAUUUAAUCAUAAAGACCAUAAAACCUAAGCAAUAUUUUCAAUUCUCAUGUAAACUUUAUGCUAGAGUUCAACAGAUUCUAAAUAAUUGACCAAAACAUGCUUAAAAUACUUAUUUAACUCAUAUUCAUCAAUUAAUCAAAAAUUCCAAACACUCUUUACUCCAUCAAAUUCUAGACAAAAUCUCCAAAUCCCAUCUCAAAAUUUUAUCAAUUUCAUGCUGUAAAAAUAGUACAAAUAGAAAGAACUUACUCGAUUUAUUAAAGUUUAUGUAAUCGGGCGAUCGAUAAAACGAAAAUCGGCUAUGAGGCUAGAGUUUGAACCUCACGGUUCCUUUCUCUCCCAUGGUGUGUUAGAGUUUGUAUACUAGAAAUCACCUUUCGAGUGAUUGAAUACUGUAAAAAAUCUUAUUUUCCAAGGAAUAAAACAUAUUAUUUUUGUCAUAA